rnacentral:rRNA from 1 species
AUAUUACUAAGCGGAGGAGAAGAAAUUAACUAAGAUUGCCUUAGUAAGGGCGACUGAACCGGCAAAAGCUCGAAAUUAAAAUCGGUAAUUCAAUGAAUUUCCGAAUUGUAAUCAGGGUUGCCUAAAUACGUGAGGUCACUCAACAGUCUCGAAAGGCUGGCCAAAGAGGGUGCAAGCCCCGUGCAGUGAUCACACGAACAAGGGAACUUGAACAAGAGUCGUGUUGCUUGGAACUGCAGCACUAAGAGGGAGAUAUGAUUCUUCCAAAGCUAAAUAUGGAUGGGAGACCGAUAGCGCACAAGUA